rnacentral:rRNA from 1 species
GACAGAGGAUGCAAGCGUUAUCCGGAAUGAUUGGGCGUAAAGCGUCUGUAGGUGGCUUUUUAAGUCCGCCGUCAAAUCCCAGGGCUCAACCCUGGACAGGCGGUGGAAACUACCAAGCUGGAGUACGGUAGGGGCAGAGGGAAUUUCCGGUGGAGCGGUGAAAUGCGUAGAUAUCAGGAGGAACACCGGUGGCGAAGGCGGGUCUCUGGGCCGAUACUGACGCUGAGGAGCGAAAGCGUGGGGAGCGAACAGG